UACCAGCACCCCGAGUGGUCGGGACGUUUAUUGGGCCUAAAGCAUCCGUAGCCGGUUCUACAAGUCUUCCGUUAAAUCCACCUGCUUAACAGAUGGGCUGCGGAAGAUACUAUGGAGCUAGGAGGCGGGAGAGGCAAGCGGUACUCGAUGGGUAGGGGUAAAAUCCAUUGAUCCAUUGAAGACCACCAGUGGCGAAGGCGGCUUGCCAGAACGCGCUCGACGGUGAGGGAUGAAAGCUGGGGGAGCAAACCGG
rnacentral:rRNA from 1 species